UUUUUAUUUAACUUUUCUAUGGUUUAGUUUUUUGGAAUCUGAAUAAGGUUGGUUGGGUCUGACAAAAAAAGAAGGAAACUGGCUAUAGUCAUUUGCCACUGGAUUAAGGAGGAGCCGGUUGACCAUCUCUUCGUGUCUUGCCACUUCGCCUCAAGGUGUUUGGGACCGGGUUGCAAGCUGAUGUCGUCUAACUGGGUUGUAUAUGUUUGAAAGCAAAGAUUUGGUCGGAUAUCAUUGCCGUGCGGGUGGGUCGAC